rnacentral:tRNA from 1 species
GGAGGGUUGCCGGAGUGGUCGAACGGGGCGGUCUCGAAAACCGUUGUGCCUUCAGGGGCACCAAGGGUUCGAAUCCCUUACCCUCCG